AUGUUGUGAAGGCGAUUGCCGU
rnacentral:siRNA from 1 species